AACUUUUAGUACAUCGGGUCGUGUGCUUGAUGGCUUUCGGAGUUCUUUAACUCCAAAAGUAGUGGAAGCUUUGAUUUGCACUCAAGAUUGGUUGAGAGCCGCUCGUGUACCGCUUGAUGUUGAAGAGUGUAUUGAGAACGCCGAACAAUUUGAGUUGGAUAUGGUUGGUCUUAAUGCGGAGAUUAUGAUCGAUAAAUAAAGUUGGUGGUAUCGCACUUGCAAUGGAUCCAACGGUUGAGAAGUCAAGCAAGGUUUUGCUGUGCCAAAGAAAUCACAUGGAAAUGUUGCAGAGUUCACACUAUGGAGUAGAUGAAAAUUUGAGAUCUUAUUGGCACUUCUGGUUUUUCAUCUCUUUAGAAACUUCUUUGGAAACUUCUUAUUAGUUUUGAUUA